AACAGCAGAGGCUAUAUGGCAAAAACGUUCCUUUCUUUCCUGUUUACUAGAAUAAAGUUGUCAAGACGGUAAAAGUUUUUCAAGCAAGAUAAAGAUAACUCUCUAGUCUAGGGAAUGAUUCUACAAGUCUGAGAUCUCAAAGAGAUUAACACCGAAUUUGCUCUGAUACCUGUGGAUUUUCUUCUCGUUUUGGCUUGGGUGCAGCUGGUGGAGUAAUGGUACGACUCUCUGUUUGCUUCUCCUCUGCUUCCACAUGGGGUUUAAUAGUCUGAAAAGAAACAAGUACAACUCAAUACUAAGAGAGCAUUUUUUAGUUAGAGAAAAACUAAGUGAAAUGAGUAAUUUCAGUUUAGUAGAACAACGGAAAAACAGUUGUAGAACAAACUGGCAGUACCCCAAAAAGAGAUUUGCUCCAGGAAUGUGAGGGAAGUUUAAAUAAUGUGUCCUGCUUUGGCAAAGAAACAGAACAGGCCAAAACCCAAGAACGUGCAGCAUCACAGCAACUCUGGCAACCCAAUCAAACAACCACACAAGUGAUAAAGGUCAUCCUGCAGUUAACAUUUUUGGUAGAAAUAUUUAUAAAGCUGCAUGAAAAGUGGAUUGAUUACAGACCAGCUGAAGCCUUAUGGAAAAUCAUUCUAUGAAAAGCUCCUGUUCAGAACCCAUUCUGAAUGGUAUAUACAUUCUCCAUUUCUUUCCCUUCAUUUGUCAUUAUGAGUAACAUUUGCCUGAAAACUGGCACUGUGACUCCUGAGAGCUCAGAUAUUCCUGUGGCUUAUUUCCUCCCUGAAGUCAGAAUCCUUGGCUCUCAACAUCACAAUCAUCAGCAUGGUGACCCUCAGUUUGUGGCAUGGUUGUGAUGUCACAAACUCAAGAGUGAGGAGAUGAAUGAAGUCUUUAAACCAUGAUUUGAGGACUUCAAUAGCUCAGACACAGGUGAGAAGUUUAUCGCAGGAGUGGGUGGGUGAGAUUCUGUGGCCUGCAUUGUGCAGGUCAGACUAGAUGAUCAUAAUGGUCCCUUCUGACCUUAAUAUCUAUGAAUGCUGAAGAGAGACAAAUUUUGUUUUGUGUAAAUAUCCUUAAUCAUAAAGAUUAAGAAAAUCAUACCAAAAGACUGUACACAGAUAAUUAAAUCAUUGUUACUUGUCUCGGAAUGUUUUUCAAAGUUUUCCUGACUGUCAGCAGUUCUUUAAAUAAUAAACAAAUGGUGUUGACAUCAAAGAAAUAUCAGCAUCAAAGAUGCAACAUUGUGGACGUGCAGCACAGGGAUUCAUCUAGCUCAUAGGUAACAGGCAUGCACUGUUGCAGAGCUCAGUUUGUAAAUCUGCCUUAAAAGAUACGCAACAACCUACCCCUGUGAAUUUAGUGAAGUGAUAGUGCAUCUUUUAUGCACAAAUUGUCCAUAGUGGACAACUCCAAGGUACAUUAAUCAACAGGAAGUGUCUGAAGUGAAACCAAAGAUUUCACAUGAACUGAAUUGGAAAAGUCUACAGUUAUGACCUAAUUAAAUCAUUUUAUUUGAAGUUGCGUAUUAUUUUUUAGGACUCCUUCCCCAUUUGCUCUUUCCUGAAGUGAGAUUUAAUAACUAAAUAUCUAGAAACUCUAUUUUUGAGGCAUUUCUUCCAUCCAUUCAAGCUCAGGUCACUCAUGGGAGUCUUAACCAACCUCAAGAAGCUGACUGGCCAUUCUGUUUCCCUGCAAUUUGAAGGGGGAUUCAGAGGAGAACACAAAUCAACAGGCUCCAGCAUCAAAGCAAAUGCACCCGGAUUCUCUUACUAAACAGGCCUUGUUAAAUAUUUUGAAUAGUUUUUAUUCUUCUACUCUCCAUUGUUUAUAAUUUAAAGAAGUUUAGAAAUAAAAAAAUAUUUUG